AGAGUUUGAUCAUGGCUCAGGACGAACGCUGGCGGCGGGCUUAACACAUGCAAGUCGAGCGAUGAAAUCCCUUCGGGGAUGGAUUAGCGGCGGACGGGUGAGUAACACGUGGGCAACCUGCCUCAAAGUGGGGGAUAGCCUUCCGAAAGGGAGAUUAAUACCGCAUAACAUUAGUUUUUCACAUGAAUUACUAAUUAAAGGAGUAAUCCGCUUUGAGAUGGGCCCGCGGCGCAUUAGCUAGUUGGUGAGGUAACGGCUCACCAAGGCCACGAUGCGUAGCCGACCUGAGAGGAAGGUCCCCCACACUGGUACUGAGACACGGACCAGACUCCUACGGGAGGCAGCAGUGAGGAAUAUUGGUCAAUGGGCGAGAGCCUGAACCAGCCAAGUCGCGUGAAGGAAGACGGUGCUAUGCAUUGUAAACUUCUUUUGUAAGGGAAUAAAAAGAGUUACGCGUAACUUAUUGUAUGUACUUUACGAAUAAGGAUCGGCUAACUCCGUGCCAGCAGCCGCGGUAAUACGGAGGAUCCAAGCGUUAUCCGGAUUUAUUGGGUUUAAAGGGUGCGUAGGCGGAAGAUUAAGUCAGUGGUGAAAGUUUGCAGCUCAACUGUAAAAUUGCCAUUGAAACUGAUUUUCUUGAGUGUAAAUGAGGUAGGCGGAAUGUGUUGUGUAGCGGUGAAAUGCUUAGAUAUAACACAGAACACCAAUUGCGAAGGCAGCUUACUGGGAUACAACUGACGCUGAGGCACGAAAGCGUGGGGAUCAAACAGGAUUAGAUACCCUGGUAGUCCACGCAGUAAACGAUGAAUACUAGCUGUAUGCGAUAUACUGUAUGCGGCACAGCGAAAGCGUUAAGUAUUCCACCUGGGGAGUACGUUCGCAAGAAUGAAACUCAAAGGAAUUGACGGGGGCCCGCACAAGCGGAGGAACAUGUGGUUUAAUUCGAUGAUACGCGAGGAACCUUACCCGGGCUUGAAAUGCAGACGACGAACCGAGAAACCGGUUUUCCAGCAAUGGCGUCUGUGUAGGUGCUGCAUGGUUGUCGUCAGCUCGUGCCGUGAGGUGUCGGCUUAAGUGCCAUAACGAGCGCAACCCCUAUCAUUAGUUACUAACAGGUUAAGCUGAGGACUCUAAUGAGACUGCCACCGUAAGGUGUGAGGAAGGUGGGGAUGACGUCAAAUCAGCACGGCCCUUACGUCCGGGGCGACACACGUGUUACAAUGGGGGGUACAGAGGGUUGCUACCUGGUGACAGGAUGCUAAUCUCAUAAAGCCUCUCUCAGUUCGGAUCGAAGUCUGCAACUCGACUUCGUGAAGCUGGAUUCGCUAGUAAUCGCGCAUCAGCCAUGGCGCGGUGAAUACGUUCCCGGGCCUUGUACACACCGCCCGUCAAGCCAUGGAAGCCGGGGGGACCUGAAGUACGUAACCGCAAGGAGCGUCCUAGGGUAAAACUGGUAACUGGGGCUAAGUCGUAACAAGGUAGCC
rnacentral:rRNA from 1 species